CACCGCGGUUAUACGAGAGACCCAAGUUGACAAGCUCGGCGUAAAGAGUGGUUAUGGGGACCAGAAACUAAGGCCAAAGACCCCCUAGGCUGUUAUACGCACCUGGGUGCUCGAGACACCAAUACGAAAGUAGCCUUAUCAAUACUCCACCAGAGUCCACGACAGCUGGGGAA
rnacentral:rRNA from 1 species